AUUGCAAAUCGUUCUAUCGCUUCAUUUUAUUAUGAAGAGGAAAGUCCGGGCAGCACAGAGAAUCCGACCUAGUGAAAGCUAGGGUGCUCUAAAAGAGAUUGAAGAGUAACAGCUAGUGCAACAGAAAUAAACUACCGUAUUUAUACGGAAAAGCUGAAAAGGUGAGGUAAGAGCUCACCAGUUACAAAAGCAAUUUUGUAAGCUAGGUAAACCUUCGGUGCUGAAAAAUCAAAUAAACCAAGUGUUGAGGGUUUCUCGCCCAACUUGGAGGGUAGAUUGUUAAUGGAUAAAGGUAACUUUAUUCUUAGAUAAAUGAUAGAACUCGACAGAAUCUGGCUUAUAGAUUUGUAUUUUAA
rnacentral:RNase_P_RNA from 1 species